rnacentral:lncRNA from 15 species
AUGGAGAGAAUCCUGAAGGAAAAGGAAGAAGAGAUGAAGAGAGAGAGGGAGGAGCUUCAAAGAAAACAUGAGGAAGAAAUGGAACAAAUGAAAAGACGAAUGGAAGAACAGAGAGCAGAAACUGAAAAGGAGAGAAAACUGAGAGAAAAACAACUUGAAGAAAAGGAGGAAAACAUCAGAAAGGAAAAUGAGGAGAGAAGGAAAGAACAGGAAAAGAGAGAAGAAGAAGACAGGAAGAGAAAACAACAGGAAGAAAUUCAACAACAGAAGUGGAAACAGAAAGUUGAAGCUUUGGAGGAAAAAAUAAAAUCAGAAUUAGAGGAAAAAGAAAUCACUAAAAGAAAGCUGGAGGAAAUCAGAGAAGAGAUGAGAAAAGAACGAGAGAAUGAAGAGAAAAGACAAAAAGAAUGGUGGCAAAAACGAUACGAAGAAGAUGAACAGAGACGACGGGAGGAAGAAACAAAACUGAAAAAGCUUCAAGAAGAAUACGAACAGGAAAGAGAAAACUAUAGAAAGAAAAGAGAAGAAGAGGAUCGAAUCAGAAAAGAACAAGAGGAACAAGAGAAAGAAAAACAGAGAGCAGAAAUUGAAAAGGAGAGAAAACUGAGAGAAAAACAACUUGAAGAAAAGGAGGAAAACAUCAAAAAGGAACGUGAGGAGAGGAAGAAAGAACAGGAAAUGAGACAAGAAGAAGACAGGAAGAGAAAACAACAGGAAGAAAUUCAACGACAGGAGUGGAAACAGAAACAAAAAGCUUUGGAGGAAAAAAUAAAAUCAGAGUCAGAAUCAAAGGAAACCAUUGAUAGAAAGCUGGAGGAGAGCAAAGAAGAGAUGAGAAAAGAACGAGAGAACUGGGAGAAACAACAAAAUGAAUGGUGGGAAAAACAAAAUCAGGAAAAUGAACAGAGACGACAGGAGGAAGAAACAAAACUGAAAAACCUUCAAGAAGAAUACGAACAGGAAAGAGAAAACUAUAGAAAGAAAAGAGAAGAAGAGGAUCGAAUCAGAAAAGAACAAGAGGAAAAAGAGAAAGAAAAACAGAGAGCAGAAAUUGAAAAAGAAAGAAAACUGAGAGAAAAAGAACUUAAAGAAAAGGAGGAUAACAUCAAAAAAGAACGUGAGGAGAGAAAGAAAGAACAGGAAAUGAGAGAAGAAGAAGACAGGAAGAGAAAACAACAGGAAGAAAUUCAACAACAGGAGUGGAAACAGAAAGUUGAAGCUUUGGAGGAAAAAAAUAAAAUCAGAGUCAGAAUCAAAGGAAACCAUUGAUAGAAAGCUGGAGGAGAGCAGAGAAGAGAUGAGAAAAGAACGAGAGAACUGGGAGAAACAACAAAAAGAAUGGUGGGAAAAACGAAAACAAGAAAAUGAACAGAGACGACAGGAGGAAGAAACAAAACUGAAAAAGCUUCAAGAAGAAUAUGAACAGGAAAGAGAAAACCAUGAAAAGAAAAGAGAAGAAGAGGACCGAAUUAGAAGAGAACAAGAGGAAAAAGAGAAAAAAGACAUUGAGGAGAACUAUAAGGAAAAAUUGGAGGAAAUGAAGAAGACACAUGAAGAAGAAGCCAGAAAGAAAGCAGAAGAGUUCAAUGAAUUCAAAGAGAAAUACAAAAAGGAAUCUGCAGCUCUGAAGGAAGAACAUGAGAAACAAAUGAAAGACAAAGAUCAACAAUAUAAUAUCUUAGAGGCUCUUAAAGUCCACAAUGAAGAACAACUGAGGAAAAAAUAUCAAGGUGAAAUUUGUAACAUAGUGAAAAGUGUGACCAACAGGGAAAAAAAUCUGGAAGAAAUCCAAGACUUACUGACGAAACAUGAACAGGAAAUAAAUAAUGUGAAAACUGAGGAGGAAAAGGAGCUUCUGCAAAAACAUGAAGAAGAAAUGAAUAAGUUGAUUCAGAAAUUUCUGAAUGAAAAGUCAUUUUGGACAAUUCUAAAGAACUUGUUUGGUUUCAAUUAGGACAAAUACUUCUCAUUGGCUGUCUGGUGUCUGAAUCAGCAGCCUGUACAAUAUUCAUCAGCAGGUAACCAUAGCAACAGUAGUGAUGCUAACCAUAGUAAUGAAUAUAAAGAAUCUCUCCAUGUUUGUCUCAGACUGUGAUCAUGUUGAUGUGGAGGUGCAGAAACCUCACAGCUGAUCUCAGACGAGUUUUAACUGAUUACAACUUUAUUGAAGAGAUUCACAACUGAAGUGAAUGAUCUCAACAUUGAACAGAAACACAGCAGCAGUCACUGUGGGUCAGAUGAUACCAGUUCUUUGGAGUAAUGUUAUAGUCUUAGUUUUUAGAGUUUAAUCAUCAGUUUUUACAUUAUUUGUCUCCCUGGUGUUUAUUUUUAUAUCGACUUUUACUUUUUUGAUGUUUUACAUUUUAUUGUUUCUGUUGUAUUCAUUGUUCAUUGUACAAAACUGUAUCUAUUGUUCAUUUUUGUUUUUAUGUGUUGUUUCAGUUUGUUCUGUGAAGUCAAUAAGAGCAUUUGAUAAUAUCUCCCUCUGGCUCAGCUCCAGUGUUCAGUCUGAGAGAUUUCUGGAUGUUUGAGUUGGAUUCUUUAAAUGAUAAAAUGUUGAUUUCAGUCUGUUCUGUCUCGUGAUAAAUGAGGAUUUAAACAGUUAAAUAACUCACUGACUCUGUACAAUUAUCAAACCUCUGGUCUAUUCACUGGUUGCUGAAAAUAAUAGUUCAAUUUAUAACAUACAGGAUUUCUUUGUUACAUGUCCAAUAAGAAUAGAUGCUUUAUAACUGAUGACAUCAACUUAAGACAGAAUUCAGAUGAAUCUUUAAUUGUAUGUUCUGUGUUUGAUCUUUGGUUUCUGUGUUUAUCAUUAUAAAAGAUGAAUAAAGUGUUUCCCUGUAGUUCACUGUGACUCUUGUUAAAUGCUGAAGUCAAACAGACUCCACAACUUCAUCAGAAGGAUUUGUUCAGGACGUGUUGUUGUAUCUUGGGGGGGUUAAGUUAUAAUGACUGUCAGUGAGGUUUACUGCUGUCCACUGUUCUCUGUACUGAUGCAGUUUUACUGAGGUUUUAUACAGUUUGCUCUCAGGUGUUUAGACUUUGUGAACAUUAUAUGAUUCAAAGAUGCUUUCACACCUUACUGUCACUAGUUAACAUCCACUGACAAACAACCUCACUUUAAGGUCCAUUCAGUAGAUGUUCUGGUUGCACCAGCUUCAUAAGUUCUUCACUGAGUUUGAGUCUGAAUCCUUCCUGUGUUCUUAGUAACUACUAGCUAGUUUCAGACUGGUUAUUUACUAAAUCAGGUUGCAGCAAUAAAAUAGUAUAGUAUAAGCCUUUAGUAAAUUGGUUGCUAGGAAACAUCUGUUGCACUGUCCAAUUAAAAGCCAUCAACUGUGGCAACAGGACAUCAAUCACUGUUACAUCAUAAGCUGUAAUAUAAGUUUCAAAAAUAACAUUUUAGCAGACCAAAAUAUACAUUAAACUUAAAGCUGCAGUAUGGAACUUUAUAAAAUUACUUUUGGUCAUAUUUGUUGAAACUGUCACUUUAUCCUGACAGUAGAACAUGAGACAGAUAAUCUGUGGAAAGAUCAGGUUCCUCUGGCUCCUCCAAGUGUUCAUAAAGGUAUUUACAAGAUUCCACCCAGUCUAAAAGAUUGUUAAGUCUCAUUUCUUGGUCAUCAAAUACAAAAAGUUAUUUAAAAAAAAGUUACAUACUGCAGCUUUAAACGGUCAAUUCUUUGUAAAUAUGGAUCUGACUUUGUUUUAUUCAUCUUCAAUCAUGUCAAAAUCUGUGUGAUAAAAGUGAGUGGGAAAUAUCUGAUGAAGCUAAUAAACUGACAGUAUUUGGUCAUUUAAUCUUCAUUAUCAGCAUUAUGUUUUUUAAUUUGAGUUAUAUUGUGGGAACAUUCUCAGAAAAAUAAAAAAUCUACAAUUUGAUCAGAAUCACAAAUAUCACAGGAGAGACAAAGAGACCAUUUCACUCCCAUGUCAUUAUUUAAAAGUUAUUUAUUGUAAGAGUCCAAAAAUGUGCAUAAUUUAAAAUGUAUUUGUAUAAAAUGCACUACACCUAUAUUUCACAUUUAUACAAGUCAAGUUGGACUUUUUGUCUGCAACAGGUGUGCACAGGGGAGCCAUUGUCUGACAUUGUCUCCACGUCCAGCAGGUGGCGCUGUAACAUCAGCCACUGAUGAAAGGAGCUUCACAGAAAGCGGCUUGUUGUAGUUUUAUCAUUUCAUUGUUUUUAUGUUUUUAUUUUGUUAAUGAGUCAUUUGAAUAAUUUAAACCUUGUGAAAUGAUUGAGGGCGUUUGUGGUUGUGAACGGACUUAAAUGUAAUAUUAGAUAUUAAUGUUAAAUAUGGAUUAAUGACCUUUAGUUGUGUGAUCAGCUAUCGGCUGUACGCUGGAACAGAAACAUUAUCUGCAGUGAUUUGUCAUAAUUCUAAAAAAUCAUAAUCAGUCAUAAACAGGCUGAAACAUAGAGCACAAGGUGUAUUUACAGACUGAUGAAGUUCAGGUUUUAUGUUUUAUGAGCAAUAAAGAGAGAAAGAAAUGACCUUUGAAUGUGAAUGAAUCCGUUUUUCUGCAGAUAUUCUGAGGAGAGGUUGUCAUGGUGAUAGUGAGGAAGACUUUUUAAUAACCUGAAUUUACCGAUGUUAGAAUAUUACUUUUAAAUAAAGCAUGUCAAUUAAAGUGUAAAUGAGAAGAAACUAAAUGUUUAAGAAGAAUAAUGCUGUAGGUCUAAUGGUAAAAUAAGAAUUGUGUAAAAAUAGUUUAUGCAGCAGACAUUUUUCCAUUCUUGGACACACUGAUUCUCUCUCAACGUUUGAAACACAUCUGAAAACUGUUUGUUAACUUUCACUUUAGCUUCAGUCCUCAGGUUGAUCUCUCUGAUCUGCAGCAGAAGUUUCAGCUGGUGAGUAAACGACUAAAAGCACAUUAAUAGAAGUGAUCCAGUGAACCCAGCAGCUAAAUGCACU